rnacentral:rRNA from 1 species
AAUCAACGCUGGCGGCGUGCCUAACACAUGCAAGUCGAACGCGAAAAGGGCUUCGGCUCUGAGUAGAGUGGCGUCCGGGUGAGUAACGCGUGGGUAAUCUGCCCUCGGGUGGGGAAUAACUAGUCGAAAGAUUAGCUAAUACCGCAUAAUGCAGCGGCUCGACAUCGAGACAGUUGUUAAAGCAGAAAUGCGCCUGAGGAGGAGCCUGCGUCUGAUUAGCUAGUUGGUGAGGUAAUGGCUCACCAAGGCUGCGAUCAGUAGCUGGUCUGAGAGGACGACCAGCCACACUGGAACUGAGACACGGUCCAGACUCCUACGGGAGGCAGCAGUGGGGAAUAUUGGACAAUGGGGGCAACCCUGAUCCAGCCAUGCCGCGUGGGUGAAGAAGGCCUGGUUGUAAGCCUUUCGUACGGAGAAAGUACGUCGGUGACAUACCGGCGACUGCUGACGGUACC